GAUGAAGAACGUAGCGAAAUGCGAUACGUAAUGUGAAUUACAGAAUUCAGUGAAUCAUCGAAUCUUUGAACGCAUAUUGCGCUCUUUGGUAUUCCGAAGAGCAUGCUUGUUUGAGUAUCAGUAAACACCUCAACCUCUUCUUGAUUUUUCAAAAGGAGGGUGGACUUGAGCUAUCCCAACAACCUUUACCGGUCGGCGGGCGGCUUGAAAUGCAGGUGCAGCUGGACUUUUAUCUGAGCUAAAAGCAUAUCUAUUUAGUCCUCGUCAAACAGGAUUAUUACUUUUGCUGCAGCUAACAUAAAGGAUAAUUGUCCUCUUUGCUGACUGAUGCAGGAUUUUACGACACUUUAUGUGUUGUUCAACUCGAUCUCAAAUCAAGUAAGACUACCCGCUGAACUUAAGCAUAUCAAUAAGCGGAGGA
rnacentral:misc_RNA from 1 species